rnacentral:rRNA from 1 species
UACAGAGGUCUCAAGCGUUGUUCGGAUUCAUUGGGCGUAAAGGGUGUGUAGGUGGCGCGCUAAGUCGGGUGUGAAAUUUCGGAGCUUAACUCCGAAACUGCAUUCGAUACUGGCGUGCUUGAGGACUGGAGAGGAGACUGGAAUUCAUGGUGUAGCAGUGAAAUGCGUAGAGAUCAUGAGGAAGACCAGUGGCGAAGACGGGUCUCUGGACAGUUCCUGACACUGAGACACGAAGGCCAGGGGAGCAAACGGG